CGGGUGGUAAUGCCGGAUGCUCCGGUUGGAUGCAUGUCCUUCCGGGAAAGAUUCUAUCGGUAUGGGAUGGGGUCGCGUCCUAUCAGCUUGAUGGCGGGGUAACGGCCCACCAUGGCUUCGACGGGUAGCCGGCCUGAGAGGGCGACCGGCCACAUUGGGACUGAGAUACGGCCCAGACUCCUACGGGAGGCAGCAGUGGGGAAUAUUGCACAAUGGGCGCAAGCCUGAUGCAGCGACGCCGCGUGCGGGAUGGAGGCCUUCGGGUUGUAAACCGCUUUUGAUCGGGAGCAAGCCCUUCGGGGUGAGUGUACCUUUCGAAUAAGCACCGGCUAACUACGUGCCAGCAGCCGCGGUAAUACGUAGGGUGCAAGCGUUAUCCGGAAUUAUUGGGCGUAAAGGGCUCGUAGGCGGUUCGUCGCGUCCGGUGUGAAAGCCCAUCGCUUAACGGUGGGUCUGCGCCGGGUACGGGCGGGCUGGAGUGCGGUAGGGGAGACUGGAAUUCCCGGUGUAACGGUGGAAUGUGUAGAUAUCGGAAAAGAAACACCA
rnacentral:rRNA from 1 species